GAUGAACGCUAGCUACAGGCUUAACACAUGCAAGUCGAGGGGUAACGAGAGGAAAGCUUGCUUUCCUUGUCGACGACCGGCGCACGGGUGAGUAACGCGUAUCCAACCUGCCCCCAACUAGGGAAUAACCUUGCGAAAGUAAGACUAAUACCCUAUAAUUUCCUCAGAUGUCAUCUGACGAGGAAUAAAGAUUUAUCGGUUGUGGAUGGGGAUGCGUCUGAUUAGCUUGUUGGCGGGGUAACGGCCCACCAAGGCAACGAUCAGUAGGGGUUCUGGGAGGAAGGGCACCCACAUGAGAACUGAGACACGGUCCAAACGCCUACGGGAGGCAGCAGUGAGGAAUAGUGGUCAAUGGGCGGAAGCCUGAACCAGCCAAGUAGCGUGCAGGAUGACGGCCCUAUGGGUUGUAAACUGCUUUUAUACAGGAAUAAAGUUAGCCACGUGUGGUUAUUUGUAGGUACUGUAUGAAUAAGGACCGGCUAAUUCCGUGCCAGCAGCCGCCGUAA
rnacentral:rRNA from 1 species